rnacentral:rRNA from 1 species
AAUAGAUACCCGGGUAGUCUACGCCGUAAACGAUGCGCACUAGGCUCGAGGGUUCUGACGACCUUCGUGCCGCAAGAAAACCGAGAAGUGCGCCGCCUGGGGAGUACGGCCGCAAGGCUAAAACUCAAAGGAAUUGACGGGGGCUCACACAAGCGGUGGAGCAUGUGGAUCAAUUCGAAGCAACGCGAAGAACCUUACCUGGGUUUGACAUGUACGGAUGCUCUUUCCGAAAGGAGAGUAGGCUGCCUUCGGGUGAAACGUACACAGGUGCUGCAUGGCUGUCGUCAGCUCGUGCUGUGAAGUGUCGGGUUAAGUCCCUUAACGAGCGAAACCCUUGUCGCUAGUUACCAGCGGGUAAAGCCGGGGACUCUAGCGAGACUGCCGGCGUUAAGCCGGAGGAAGGUGGGGACGACGUCAAGUCAUCAUGGCCUUUAUAUCCAGGGUUUCACACGUGCUACAAUGGGGUGUACAAAGCGACGCAAAGCCGCGAGGUCGAGCAAAUCGCAGAAAACAUCCCUCAGUUCAGAUUGGGGUCUGCAACCCGACCCC